GAAACGCAACAACACCCAUCACCACGCCAGGAUCGUUGGACGGGCCAUGACCAGCAGCUUCUCUGAGGUUCCUCUGGACAACCCGGCCUAAAAGAGAUCCUCCUUUAUCUGCAGCCCCUUCACAACCACGACUGAAGAAAAAACGUGAAGUAAAAGGUAAAUUCAUCGGAAACGCCUGAAAACAAAGUAUUUCUUUCAAUUCAUAUUAUAUAGGCUAGUUGAUUAAGUUUAUGUUUUCUCUGUCUAUAAACAAUUUAACUAUUGUUGUCUUUUAUAUCUCAGGAUAACCUAUGGAAAUMCUAAGUUAAAUUUCACAAAUGCUAUGUUUAUAUUCUGMRACUUUUAUUAUACUGUAUUUUUGUUAUCAAGGCCUUCYGAGUUAAUAAGCCUAAUUUUGAUUAAUUCAUUUAAAUUCUAAACAUAUGCCCUGCGUCACAGGGUCCAUGUCUCUUGUGUGUGUAUAUAGUAUAGAUAGGAAGUAUGUCUUUAGGGAAGAGUAGCAGUGUCAUAAUGUGUUCAUGUUGUUAUUCUGAUUUACUUAGGAUUUAUACCAUGGCAUUGUUGAAUACUGAUUUCUGAUUGGCUUGAAGMGCAUUCUAGAAAGCUGCAUAAUUUAUUUACAAAAACUCAUAUGAAGUCAUACGAGACAUGAGGUCAUGUAUGAACUUAAAAUUGUUAACAUCUCUGUUUCCAAGAUACAUUUUUGGGGAGAUCAGUUUCAAAUCUUUAUGCAGAUUUUUCACAUUCCCCCUCGAGCUAUAUUGUCAAUUCAUUUGUCUUUUUGAAAAAACCUGCAAUACUUCCAUCGUCAUGUUCUGUACAUUUUAUUUACAUGGAUUUGAUUACAUCUUUUUUGUCUGUUCUGAUGUCAGUAGCUAGAUAAAUGUAGUGAAUGUGUCACAA